AUGUUAGCGGCGGACGGGUGAGUAACACGUGGGUAACCUGCCUGUAAGACUGGGAUAACUCCGGGAAACCGGGGCUAAUACCGGAUGGUUGUUUGAACCGCAUGGUUCAUACAUAAAAGGUGGCUUCGGCUACCACUUACAGAUGGACCCGCGGCGCAUUAGCUAGUUGGUGAGGUAACGGCUCACCAAGGCGACGAUGCGUAGCCGACCUGAUAGGGUGAUCUG
rnacentral:rRNA from 1 species